rnacentral:pre_miRNA from 1 species
GCCCAAGUACUGAGUGGAAGACUAGUGAUUUUGUUGUUUUUAAACUGAUAAAAAGGACAACAAGUCAUAGUCUACCACCCAGCACUGGGA